GCAGGCCUAACACAUGCAAGUCGAACGCACCUUCGGGUGAGUGGCAGACGGGUGAGUAACGCGUGGGAACGUGCCCUUCGGUACGGAAUAACUCGGGGAAACUCGAGCUAAUACCGUAUACGUCCUCUGGGAGAAAGAUUUAUCGCCGAAGGAUCGGCCCGCGUUGGAUUAGGUAGUUGGUGGGGUAAAAGCCUACCAAGCCUACGAUCCAUAGCUGGUUUGAGAGGAUGAUCAGCCACAUUGGGACUGAGACACGGCCCAAACUCCUACGGGAGGCAGCAGUGGGGAAUCUUCGGCAAUGGGCGCAAGCCUGACCGAGCCAUGCCGCGUGAGUGAAGAAGGCCCUAGGGUUGUAAAGCUCUUUCACCAGGGACGAUAAUGACGGUACCUGGAGAAGAAGCCCCGGCUAACUCCGUGCCAGCAGCCGCGGUAAUACGGAGGGGGCUAGCGUUGUUCGGAAUCACUGGGCGUAAAGCGCGCGUAGGCGGCUUGGAAAGUCAGAGGUGAAAGCCCGGGGCUCAACUCCGGAAUUGCCUUUGAAACUUCCUCGCUUGAGAUCAGGAGAGGUGAGCGGAAUUCCUAGUGGAGAGGUGAAAUUCGCAGAGAUUAGGAAGAACACCGGUGGCGAAGGCGGCUCACUGGCCUGGAUCUGACGCUGAGGUGCGAAAGCGUGGGGAGCAAACAGGAUUAGAUACCCUGGUAGUCCACGCCGUAAACGAUGGAUGCUAGUUGUCGGGCAGCAUGCUGUUCGGUGACGCAGCUAACGCAUUAAGCAUCCCGCCUGGGGAGUACGGCCGCAAGGCUAAAACUCAAAGAAAUUGACGGGGGCCCGCACAAGCGGUGGAGCAUGUGGUUUAAUUCGAAGCAACGCGAAGAACCUUACCAGCCCUUGACUUCCUGGUCGCGGUUUCCGGAGACGGAUUCCUUCAGUUCGGCUGGACCGGUGACAGGUGUUGCACGGCUGUCGUCAGCUCGUGUCGUGAGAUGUUGGGUUAAGUCCCGCAACGAGCGCAACCCUCGCCCUUAGUUGCCAGCGAUACGGUCGGGCACUCUAAGGGGACCGCCGGUGAUAAGCCGGAGGGAGGUGGGGAUGACGUCAAGUCAUCGUGGCCCUUACGGGCUGGGCUACACACGUGCUACAAUGGCGAUGACAGUGGGAUAAUCCACAAAAGUCGUCUCAGUUCGGAUUGUCUUCUGCAACUCGAAGGCAUGAAGGUGGAAUCGCUAGUAAUCGCGGAUCAGCAUGCCGCGGUGAUACGUUCCCGGGCCUUGUACACACCGCCCGUCACACCAUGGGAGUUGGCUUUACCCGAAGACGGUGCGCUAACAUUAGAGGCAGCCGGCCACGGUAAGGUCAGCGACUGGGGUGAA
rnacentral:rRNA from 1 species